AUACUACUGGUAACACAGUAGUAAGGCCACGGGAAGUCUGAAGGAGAAAAGAAAUUCAUCUUUAUGGCAUCUAAGUGCAAGAAGAGCAUCUAUAAACCUGCUUUUUAUUAGCGGGAUCAUCAUGCUGUCAUUUGCUCACAGCCUGCAGAUAGUCCUGGGUCCUCAGACGCCUGGAGGAUAAGCACACAAAUCCAUUCUAGCCAGAACCCAGCUGUGUAAGCCCAGAGGUCCUGGAAUGUAAAUGCAACCAUCAUUUCAGGCAUUCCAUUUCAAGAAUCCCUGGAUGGAGUGUUACUGGUGGUAGCUUUGCUCCAUUGAAAUGGAACUCAGGUCUGCCAGCAAGUGUAGGGCCAGGAGGCUUGUUUCUUCAUACAGCUGCCCUGUCAGCCUCAAAUGAAGAGAAGAUUACAGUCUGGGAGGAACACAAGAAAUGCUUAGUGAUAUGUAGCAGGAGCAAACUCCAGAUCCACAUCUCUAGAGGCCAUUGUAAAGGAAGUAAAACUACUCAGUCUGAAGUCACCGUCUUAAGGUAUGUCCUUUCAAGCACAUUCAAGUUUGAGGAGUUUGUCUAUAGUCAUAUCCUGUUUCAUGUGGAUGUAUGCACAUGUAUGCCACUUUUUAAAGGAAAUUCUUUGUGGGUAUUCUAUAAAACUUCAAGUCUGGGAAAGAGCCUGCCUGAUCCAAUAGGAUCAAAAGGAAGAAUAAAAUAGUUCCUUUUCGAAGUCAAGUGCUCAUUUUGUUGAAGAAUGUAAUGUAUGGACUA
rnacentral:lncRNA from 1 species